rnacentral:rRNA from 1 species
AAGGGCACUACCAGGAGUGGAUCCUGCGGCUCAAUUUGACUCAACACGGGAAAGCUCACCUGGUCCGGACACUGGAAGGAUUGACAGAUUAAGAGCUCUUUCUGAUUCAGUGGGCGGUGGUGCAUGGCCGUUCUUAGUUGGUGGAGCGAUUUGUCUGGUUAAUUCCGAUAACGAACGAGACUCUAGCCUACUAAAUAGAUCGUCGGCUUACAAACGCCGAUGAGACUUCUUAGAGGGACAGGCGGCGAUUCAGCCGCACGAAACAGAGUAAUAACAGGUCUGUGAUGCCCUUAGAUGUCCGGGGCCGCACGCGCGCUACACUGAAGUGAUCAGCGUGCAUUUUCAGCCUACUCUGCCAAGAGUGGGAAACCCAAUGAACCUUCUUCGUGAUUGGGAUAGGGGAUUGUAAUUAUUCCCCUUGAACGAGGAAUUCCCAGUAAGCGCGAGUCAUAAGCUCGUGUUGAUUACGUCCCUGCCCUUUGUACACACCGCCCGUCGCUACUACCGAUUGAAUGUUUU